GACGAACGCUGGCGGCGUGCUUAACACAUGCAAGUCGAACGGAAAGGCCUCUUUCGGGGGGUACUCGAGUGGCGAACGGGUGAGUAACACGUGAGUAACCUGCCCUUGACUUUGGGAUAACUUCAGGAAACUGGGGCUAAUACCGGAUAGGAGCCCCUGCUGCAUGGUGGGGGUUGGAAAGUUUCGGCGGUUGGGGAUGGACUCGCGGCUUAUCAGCUUGUUGGUGGGGUAGUGGCUUACCAAGGCUUUGACGGGUAGCCGGCCUGAGAGGGUGACCGGCCACAUUGGGACUGAGAUACGGCCCAGACUCCUACGGGAGGCAGCAGUGGGGAAGAUUGCACAAUGGGUGGAAGCCUGAUGCAGCAACGCCGUGUGCGGGAUGACGGCCUUCGGGUUGUAAACCGCUUUCGCUCAUGACGAAGCUUUGUGUGACGGUAGUGGGUAAAGAAGCACCGGCUAACUACGUG
rnacentral:rRNA from 1 species